rnacentral:lncRNA from 7 species
AAGAGUUUUGUCUCCCUGGCUGAAAAAUGACUGCUUUCCACUACUUAAAGGUCACAGCAGUUUCUGACCCCACAUGUUUUAAAGGGGUCUCGGACUGUAUCACAGCACUCAACAAAACAGCCAUCAUUACUUACGGUGGAGUUUGCACUGCUGGAGACUGAGCAGCACUAUUGGCCACCCGUCAGAGCAUCUCUGUUCUGCUCCAGGCAGCCACCUGCUCUGCUACCAACUGUUAGACCAAUGUGGAGAAUUGAGAUGUAGACAUUUCUUGGGGCCACCCAUCUGAAAGCUCUGACUUCACCAAGUGUCUGAUUAUUCCAGUUUAGGAGGUGUUCCUUCAUGGAAAAGUGGGACGUGUGGUCUUCCUCAGUGUCCAGAAACAGACUGCUGUGUUGCACAGAAUCAAAAAACUAACAGAAUUUGUGGCAACAGGUGAAGCAGGGUUUCAGCUCCACCCUUCCCCACACGCAGGGAGUGCUUCAGAUGGAAAGCAGCCUGCUGUGUACCCCUGUGAGCAGUACUGGGAGCACCUCCUGUGGGUGUGGACACACCGUGCAUUCUGAGAGCAAAAUCUGCCAAUCAGGGCCAAUCACAUGAGUGAUUCUGCGGAGGCUGAAGCAGGAUUGCCGAACUCAUUGUCAUGCGUGGCUAAACAGAGAAUUGAACCUUGUGAAAGCAUUUUUUGGCCUCGGGGAAUCAGAAAGCAUGCUUCCUAAACACACGGUGCUUUGACUUCACUUCAGAAAAGUUUCCAGUAUCUAUCGUGAGCGAGAGCAUGAUCCUCUCGCUUGCCAUAAACUGAAAAACAGUUUAUUGGUACGUGAAACACUCAGGAGCCACGGCGGUGGUCAUUCCAGGGAAAUGAAUGUCUAGGAACAAGGGGUUGAAUUAGUAAAUAGACGUGAGGUCAUAUGCAAAACAAAAAGGAAAACACGUAUUGAAUAGCUGCUCACUGGUGAGCACUGACAAUUCUGUGUACAGAACGAAGCAAACAUCCUGUGGAAAAACAGUUUGUGAGGGUGUAUUUGAAGACUUCAUCAUGCAGUGGAUUACACAAGGAAGCCAAAUAAAGAUUGCACAAGCGCU